UUUUUCGGAGAGUUUGAUCCUGGCUCAGGACGAACGCUGGCGGCGUGCCUAAUACAUGCAAGUCGAGCGGACAGAAGGGAGCUUGCUCCUGGAUGUUAGCGGCGGACGGGUGAGUAACACGUGGGUAACCUGCCUGUAAGACUGGGAUAACUCCGGGAAACCGGAGCUAAUACCGGAUAGUUCCUUGAACCGCAUGG
rnacentral:rRNA from 1 species